ACAUGAUCAACCGCCACACGCCACCUCCUGUCUGAGCGCCGCCACCGCAGCCGCCACAGCUCGCUCACAGAAAGAGGACGGAUAACACAGUACAAAUACUCCUUAAUAAAGUACAAAUGCUCCUUAAUAAAGUAUAAAUGCUCCUUAAUAAAGUACAAAUACUCCUUAAUAAAGUAUAAAUACUCCUUAAUGAAGUACAAAUACUCCUUAAUAAAGUAUAAAUACUCCUUAAUAAAGUAUAAAUGCUCCUUAAUAAAGUACAAAUACUCCUUAAUAAAGUAUAAAUACUCCUUAAUGAAGUACAAAUACUCCUUAAUAAAGUAUAAAUACUCCUUAAUAAAGUAUAAAUGCUCCUUAAUAAAGUACAAAUACUCCUUAAUAAAGUAUAAAUACUCCUUAAUAAAGUACAAAUACUCCUUAAUAAAGUAUAAAUACUCCUUAAUAAAGUAUAAAUGCUCCUUAAUAAAGUACAAAUACUCCUUAAUAAAGUAUAAAUACUCCUUAAUAAAGUACAAAUACUCCUUAAUAAAGUAUAAAUGCUCCUUAAUAAAGUACAAAUACUCCUUAAUAAAGUAUAAAUACUCCUUAAUAAAGUACAAAUACUCCUUAAUAAAGUAUAAAUGCUCCUUAAUAAAGUAUAAAUACUCCUUAAUAAAGUACAAAUACUCCUUAAUAAAGUACAAAUGCUCCUUAAUAAGGUAUAAAUACUCCUUAAUAAAGUAUAAAUGCU